CUGCUGACCAGCAAGGUCACAGGCUCCCUUCUCUCUGCAAGCAUCUCAAGGCCAAAGACAGGCUGGUGGGAAAGCUCUGACCAGCAAGGCCAUAUGCUCCCCCUCCCCUACCUAAAACCCCAAAUAAAAACCCUUCCUUUUAGCUUUUGGGGAGUUUGGGAUUUCAGCAUUAGCUGCCCUCUCUCCUUGCUCAGCGCUGUGCAAAAAUAAAAUUCCUACUUCUUUCCACCACCCCGGGUGUCAGAAAUUGGCUUGCUGUGCAACGGGUGACCGAACUCACUUCAGGUUGGGUAACAGGCAACAUGGGACUGCGCAGCCAGUACUUUCUCCGGAUCAGCCUCCUGCUUCCGCUAUCGCACAUAUCCAAGAUUGGAGCCAGCAGCAACAAGGGACAUUAUUUUAAAAAACUAGAAUGUGAGAAGACAAAGCAUUGCUGACAGUCUGCUUUUGUUGCUGGCUGAGUUGUCUGGGGAGCUCUGUCUCAGUGUUGCAAGGACAGAAUUAUUACUGAACAGACAGGGCAAUGACUUGGGCCGCCUCACAUGCCCAGUGAAGAAAAUGCUGCAUACCCUUCUGAUAUUUGCAACUCCACACCCAGAGGUGGAAGCAGUCAAUAGGGGAUCUGAGAAAGUCUUUAUUUCUCCUUUACUGCUGAAGUCUAAUUUCUCAGUUUAUGGCCCCAGCAUCUUCUGCUCCAGGCUGGAAGCCCAGGAAAGUCAGCAUUGUAGUUCCAGUCCAAACCAGAAGGCUGGAGAACCAGAGAGGCCAAUGGUGUGAGUCCCGGCCUGAGUCUGAAGGCCUGAGACCCAGGAGCACCGAUGUCCGAGGGCGGGAGAAGAUGCACAUCGCAGUGCAAGCAGAGAGCACUUCACUCUUCCUGUGCCUUUUGUUCUCUAUAGACUCUCGAUAGAUUGGAUGGUGUCCACUUGUAUUGGUGAGGGCAAUCUUUACUCAGUCUACAGAUCCAAAUACUAAUCUCUUCUGGAAACACCUCACACAGACCAGAAACACUCAGAAUUAAUGUUUUACUGACUAUCUGGACACCCCUUAGCCCAGUCAAAUUGACACAUAAAAUUAACUAUCACAGCAGUGGUCCAAGUUUAUGUGGUGUGAUGUUAUCUAUACCCUGUAUAAUCUUUUCAGAUUUCUCAAUACAAUUCUCCUGAAGAUAUAAAACAAAAUUCUAAACAUGGCUUCAUUGGAGACUCUCAACUAAUAGAACCACUAAUGGAAUUGGAAUGAGAUAUAAAGAUAUGUCCUACAAAUAGACAGCCCACUGCCCAGAACAGCACACUUAAGAAUUAGCGAGAGUGCGGCUUUAUCUGACUUCAGGUACUGUGAUAAAGGCCUACACUAAUGACUAGAAAAUCAAGCACUUAUAUGUGAGUCCACCUCCUACCUUUUACAAAUUCUAUUACUCAACCCAUUCAGAAAGUGUCAGAGUUCAGCUCAGGGUAGAGAAGGGGGCUAAGAGUUGAACAUUGUAACCUGGAAUGUGUAAGCCACUUUGGGAAAUUGUCACAAAUGUCGUCUGUGACAAAAAAGGGCCUGUGAAGAAGCAUGCCCAAGAGUGUAAGAAUAGUUUUAAACCCACAAUAGCAAGAUACAGAAAAAAACCACAGGUUGUCUUAGAUGCUCUAACAUAAUAAUUGAGAUCUGAAGGGAAAAGAGUGUCCAAAAACAUUACAGAAAAUGUAAACUAGAUGAAUGCCCAUCAUACACUAACUAUUGGCUAAAAGCUAGGCAUCAAUACUUUUGCAGAUUUUGAGAUAUAAGAAAGUGUUCCACCAGAAAACCUGUGUGUGUAAAGGGAUGGUAACAGAGUGUGCUUAACAAAAUAUCUAAACCUAUUCCUCUUAAUUCAAGGGUUAAUAAACAGGAAACAGAACAGCACCUAAAAAAAACCAGCAAUGCACAAAUCUGAGAAAAGACUAAAGAAGCCAAGGCAGAUAUCUGGGAAUAAUCGCUGCAUAAAAUAGAAGCAGUUAUUUAAAAAUAUAUAUUUGCUGCUAUUUUCUUCAAUAUUUACCUAAGAUUUAUUGAAUGACUAACAAGUGCUCAACAUCAUAGGACACAGUGAGGAAGACAGGCUAAAUGUCAGCCGCCAUGGGGCUUACUCUUUAAGAUUUCCAUAAACGCUAGGAAGACAAGAUAUAUUCACAGGACACAGGUAAAUCCUUAGUGAAAAUACGCUAAGUUAAAAAGAUGGGGAUAAAAUAUCUGGCUUCAUGAGGAAAAGGGAAAGAUGAGCUGUGGCAUCAGCAAGAUGGUAGACCAGGAGGUUCCAGGCUUUGCACCCCCAUAAAACACCCAUUUUAAUAAUCACCUAUGGACCUUGAUGGAAGUACCUUUAUGGAAGCCCAGGGGGUCCAGCACCUCAGUGGAGCAAAAAGUCUGAGUGGACACACUGAAGAAAGUGAGAAGUUUCACUUCACCUCUUGGUCAGCGAUUUCUCCCACAUAAGGGUGGGGAAGCACGAGUGAAGUGACUGCCCAGUCCUGUGGGAUGUUGCCCCAAAGGCUCACUGUUGUCUCGUCGUUCCUGGAACACUAAGGAGAUCUGCCCAACUGAAUGGCCGUGGACAGCUUGGAGCAGAGAAGGGCGAAGGCUCACAGCAAACAGCAUAUGGAUCUCAACAAGCAGACGCAGAUGCUACUAACAGACUCACAGACUCCACCAAGAACCCCAUGCACCAAAUUCACAGGACUGCCUCAUGUGAGGACCCCAUAGCCAGCCAGCAAACACCCCAGCACUCUGCACAUACCCCCUCUUCAAGGCAUCCCACGGUCUGCUGCAGAUUGCAUGAGUGGAGCUCCUUCAGACGGUACACGGUUACCAGCAGUCAGCUCUCCUUUAUUAGCCUGGGAGAGGAUGCACAACCUUGAACAUUUCAGGGCACUGACACAGGGAAAAUAAACAGGUGGCUCUCAGCACCAGGCCUGACCUUGUAAGAUGGAGAGAAGGAACAAUCCUAAGACUUCCUCCCCAAGUCAAAAUAAGAGAAGAAGAGCUGAUAGAUCAAUAGAAAAGAUAUGAAAGACAAACACAUAAUAGUAUUUACUAAUUAUAAGAGUUACCAAAUACUUGGAACUUACGUAACUUAUACUCUGCUAAGUAUAUGCAUUAUCCCACUAAGUCUUAACAAUAACCUUGUCAAAGCAGUGUGUCUAUCCCAUCUUACAGAUGAGCAAAAUGAUGUUCAUAAAAGUGACAGUGCUAGGAAUGGUAACACACCUAAAAAGGGGGAACAAGGAGGUUUGAAGGUAAAACCUGAGAUUUCAAAACCUUUACUUUCAAAUUCAGUGACAUAUAGCCUCAAAUAAUAGUAGAUCUACAUUUGAUGAGAGUAGCAAGAGAAAAAACAGACAAUACUGACCAGGAGUGUGUACUGGAGUCUCCUAUGACAGGACAGAAAGUUUGGAAUUUGUCAUUAAGUCAAUGGGAAAUCAGAUUGGUAUUUAAAACUGACAGCAGACAUAAUCAAACAUUUUAAUUAAAUAAAGACUAUAUUAUAUCAUGUCAUCAUAUUUUCUCCUAUUAGAUCGUAUCAUAAAGUGUUAGGGACAUAAGCCAUAAAACUGAGAGAAACAAAAGACAGAGGAGACUGCCGACAGUGGAGCUGAGGCAAAGGAGAGAACCACGGAGCCGGGAGCCCUGGCGGAGGCCCAGCAGAAGAGGAAAAGACAUCAGGUGCGCAGGAGACGCCUUCACUUUCCUCUCAGAUUCCGUUUCCUGGUUGCAAUCACCAUUCAACCACCCAUUAGCUGUAUUACCUUGAGAAGGUUACUGGAUAUCUCUGACUUCAGUGAAACUACAAGUGUUGUUGUGAAGAUUAAAUGGAGCAGUGUGGAACAAGCAAUAAACAGAUUGCUGGCACAGAGCCACAGCCUAAAUAUAUGCUAUGUAUGUUUAAUCUAUUUUUCUUAAGAUUUCAAAUAUAUUGACUUUCAAUUUGUCAAUAACACCAACAACAAAUAAUGUAUUGAUUCAUUCAACAAAUAUUUAUUGAGUUCCUAUAUAUAUAGUGGUCACUAGUAAAUCAGAAAAACCAGUAAAAAAAGAAAAUGAAAAAUUAUUGCCCUCAUGGUAUUCUGAUUUAUUUCCUGAGUGUUUUAAAAGUCACUUCCAGAAAGCCAUGGUAAGACCUCCAAAAUUCUACUGCUCUUUAAAAGCAAUGAUAAUACUGGCAAAAAUUGUCAAAAUCUACUUUCAGUACUCUGGAAAUUAACCAAAGGCUUGUAAUAACCUGAGAAGCUUUUAUUAAAGAAAAAUGGCUGCAAAAAGAAAAGCAAGGGUUACAACAUUUUCAAUCAUCCUAUUCCCAUUGUCCCAUUCCCAGCAUCAUGAUAGCCUCAACAAACACACACGAUCCAGCCUUGCAAUCCCAGUAGCUGUGAGAACCAGCAGCCAAGCACCAUUGGAGCUCAUAGAGCAGGUUUGGAGCUCCAUCAAAAGCCUCAAGCCCAGAGAACUGCUUGUAUUUGACCUGUAUGGCAGUUCUUUUGAAAUCCCACUUACUGGGCUUGUCUUAAUUCAUCUGACUCAGACUUUGUUCUUUGUGAAUAGUUUUUUCUCUAGUCAUGUCUUCAAAAUAAUCAUCAGCAACUGCCUAACAUCACAGACAACUGAGGAGGCAAUGAGAAGACAAACAAGAGGCCUACAAAAAAACCUUAAAGUUGGAGAAUGAGAUGUCCAUAUGGGAAUUUGAGAAUCUGAGAUACAUUCCUGGGAAUCUAGAAGGCCUUAUGCAAGUUCAGGGAUGUAUGCAUGCCCAUGAAUGACCUGAGAAGGCUCGAAUCUUUCCUCUCUGGCUGACCUUGAGACUCUGCACAAACAGGAGAACUGAACGCUAAGGCAAAGAUAAAAAUGACCUGGUAUAAUCUUAAAUUUAUCCUCCAAAACAUACAGAGAGCUCCUCAGAAAAACAACCAGAAGACAUUGGUUUAAGGAAUUUAAGGAAAAGUCUGUCCAAUCAUAAGCUGAUAAUUGUACUGACUGAGCAGAGACUUCAGCGGCCACACAAGACAAAGAAUACAGACUUUACAGAAUGUGGGAAAGCCACUAAAAAUUCUUGUGGAAGGAGGUGGAGAAUACAAUUUCAGGAACUGAUAUAUUAUUUGAAAUGUCCAGUUUUCAACAAAAACAUUGAAGCCAUGCAAAAGACAGGAAAGCAUAGUCCAUAUAAAGUGAAAAAAGUCAAUAAGAACUAUCCUUGAAAUACCCAGGGAUCGGACUUACUAGAAAAAACAUUAUAACCAAAAUUGGUUUAUUGAAAAUAUAAAUAAAAUUAACAAAACUUUAACAAAAAUCUUUUUAACGUGUAGACUCAAAUCACUAAAAUUGGUAAUAAAAGAAGGUACAUUUCAUCUAACAAUAAGAAAUAAGAGGGAUCAUAAGAAAAUAUUAUGAACAAUUUAUGCAACAAAUUAGAUAACAGCUGAAAUGGACAAAUUACUUUGAAGGUACAAACUAGUAAUAUUGACUCAAGAAGAAUUAGAAAAUCUGAAUAGAUCUAUGAUAAGAUAUUGAAUUAAUAAUCAAAAAUUUCCCCAAAUAAAAACCUGGUCCCAGAUAACUAUACUAGUGAAUUCUUUGAAAUAUUUAAAAGAUAAUAUAGCACCAAUCCUUUACAAACUUCCAAAAAUAGAAGAGAGAAAACUUUCCAAUACAUUCUAUGAGGCCAGUAUUACCCUACUACAAAAGCCAGACAAAGACAUCCUAAGAAAAUGAAACUACAGACCAAUAUACCUUAUGAAUAUUGAUGCAAAAAUCCCAACCAAAUACCAGAAAACUGAAUCGAGCAACAAAUAAAAAGAAUUGAACACCGUGAUGAUGUAGAUUUAUCCUGAAAUAGGAUAUACAAGGUGGGUUCAACCUACAAAAACCGAUCAGUGUAUUUCACCAUAUUAAGGCAAUAGAGAACAAAACUACAUGAUCAUCUCAGAAGACAGAGAAAAGCUAUUUGACAAAAUCAGGCACGUUUCAAAACUUAAACAAAACAAAACGAAAAUUUUUAAAAGUAUGGCUAGAAUGGAAUGUCCUCAACCUGAUAAAGAACAUCUAUGAAAACAAACAAUUAACAUUAUACUUAAUAGUGAAAAACUGAUCACUUUCUCUCUAAGAUUAGGAAGACUCCUCUCACAUCUGCUAUCAUCGCUUUAAUUCCACAUGGUUUUUGAGGUCCUAAUCAGAGAAACCACUAAAGAAAAAGAUCCUGAUUGGAAAGGAAGAAAUAAAACUGUCUCUAUUUGCAAAUAGUAUGAACUGGUAUGUAGAAAAUUCUAAGAAAUCCACAAAAAAUGAUUGAGUUUAUCAAAGAAUUCAGCAGGGUUACAGUAUAUAAGACCAAUAUACAAAAACCAAUUGUAUUUCUAUGCUCACAGACUGGAAGACUUCGUAUUGUUAAGAAGGGCAUACUGCUCAAGGUGAUCUAAGAUUCAGUAUAAUCCCUCUGAAAUUCCAACGGGCUUUUUGCCAACAUUGACAAAUUGAUUCUAAAAUUUAUGUAGGAAUGAAAGGACUCAGAAUAGUCAGAACUAUUAAAAACUUUAAAAAGAUUCACUUUUCUUCAACUUACUUUUAAGCUACAAUAAUCAUGACAGUACGGUACUGUCAUAAUGAUAUAUAAAACAGUGGAGUAGCUUUGAGAAUUCAGAAAUAAAUCCAUACGUCUGCGGCCAAUUGAUACUUGACAAGGAUACUAAGACAAUAAAUGGAGGAAGCCAUCAUUUUAAAAAUUGGUGUGAGGCAACUGGAUAUCCACAUGCAAAAGAAUGAAUUUAGAACCAUAUCUCACAUAGUUUAAAAAAAUUAACUCAAAGUGAAUUAUAGAUGUAAAUUUAAUAGGUAAAACUGUAAUACUGUUAGAGGAAAAUAUACGAGUAAAUCUUGUGACCUUGGAUUAAACAAUAGUUUCUUAAACUUGAUCCCAAAAGCACAUGUGACAAAAGAUAAAAUAAAUGGAACUUCAUCACAAUUUAAGAAAACAUUUUUGCUUUAAAGAAUACCAUCAAAAAAGGGAAAUGACAAAACACAGAAUGGGAGAAAAUAUUUACAGAUCAUAUAUAUCAUAAGGGAUUAGUAUCCAGAAUAUAUAAAGUACCCUUAAAAUAACAAAAGACAAAGAAGCCAAUUAAAAAGUAGGCAAAGGAUUGAAUAGAUAUGUCUCCUAAGAAUGUAGAGAAAUUAUGAAUAAGCAAAUGAAAAGAUGCUCAAUAUCAUUAGUCAGUAGAGAAAUGCAUAUGAAAAGCAUAAUGAGAUGUUUCUUCAACCCCAGUAAAAUACCUAAAUUAAAAAGACAAAAACAAGUGCUGAUAAGGAUAUAGAAAAAUUUGAACACUCAUACAUUGCUAUGAACUUACGGGAAAAUUAAAUUCUUCUCUAUAGCUGAGCACAAGGAAGCGUAUGGUCCCUGGUAGAACUAUUUCAUGAUCAUAAAGAGAACCAAACUUAGGGUAAAGUAUACACAGAAAUGCAAGAAGAUGCUAGAAACCUAGGUCCCUGAAGACAUAAUUGAACCACUGAAUACCUGACCUUAAUAUUUGCCCUACACCUGAACCUCCUAUCAUGUGAGUAAUUCAGUCCCUGUUGCUUAAGGUCUUUAAGCUGUGGCUUUUGUUAGUUGAAGCAAACAACAUCUCAAUGGAUUCAAAAUAAGGUACCAUCCUUGGGGCCCUUCAAGCCACAGAUUCUAAAAUAUGCACUUGCUUGUGGUGAAGAAGUAGGACUACAGGCACUGAGGAUCUCACAGUUCCUGUCUGAGAACUUGGUUCUGAGGUUGAUUAAGCAGCCGCAUGUUCUACACUGUUUCCAGGCCAAAAGACAACCGAGGCUACCAUAUUUCUGCAAAUGGUAGAAAAAUUAUAAAAUGUUGGCAUGUGCUUACAAUAUCGUGUGGCCUUUGGCAAGUUUGUAAAUGAAUAGGGCUAGUCUUGUCCGAAGGUGGCUAUCUAAAAAAACUGGAGUAAAUAAAGGACAAUUCUGGUGAGAGGACUUUUCUGCCUAUGACUUCAACACAAAUUGACCAAGAUUUCCACAAUUUAAGAAACUGGGGAGUAGCAAAUGCUUGAAUCCUUGAAGGCAUCUAAAGCAAUUGAAUCCCCAAACAUACCCUGAAGUUUGCCCUUCUUCUGAACUUUCCAACUAGAGAUAACAACAUCAUUCCUCACUAGCCUUCUUUGAGUUUGGGUUUCUAAUCCCUGCAUUUGUAAACAUCUUAGCUGAUACAAUAAGAGUCUAUCUGCUCGCACAGCCGAGGUUUAACUUUGCGGUUGGACUUCAAAAUAAUUGAAGGUUAUUCCUUUGCCAUAUUUGCUUUUCUAUUUCCAGUGCCACACAAUACCUGGAUCAUGAUAACACUCAAUAAGUGGUUGUUUUGGCAAGGAUUUGGCAGAGUAUCAGAACCUCAGAUAAAACGUUGAGGUUCUCUGUCACUGGGACAUGUCAGCUAGGAAGGGGUUACAUAGCAGGUUCCAGAAGCCUUCUGAGAUGCUGUCUGCCCUCUGAUGAUUGGCUUGGAAGCUGGUGAUGGGCCUGUGGCAUUUAGAACUCAUUAGUAGAUGUAGUCACAGGAGGAGUCAAGAGAAAGGCAAGGAAGUUGAUGAAGUGUCUGAGACAUAUGUGUGAUUUUUUCUUGAUCUACAUAUUUAGUCCUACAGCUUUGGGAUGCUAAGGGUCAUUAAUCAUCCACAUUAACCCUUGUUACAAUGUAACCUC
ensembl:lncRNA